UACGUAGGUGACAAGCGUUGUCCGGAUUUACUGGGCGUAAAGAGCGCGCAGGCGGUCGUUCAAGUCGAGUGUGAAAGCCCCCGGCUCAACUGGGGAGGGUCACUCGAUACUGAUCGACUCGAAGGCAGGAGAGGGAAGUGGAAUUCCCGGUGUAGUGGUGAAAUGCGUAGAUAUCGGGAGGAACACCAGUGGCGAAGGCGACUUCCUGGCCUGUUCUUGACGCUCAUGCACGAAAGCGUGGGGAGCAAACAGG
rnacentral:rRNA from 1 species